ensembl:lncRNA
UCUUCAUCCGAACCCAGCCUCCCCUCCUCCUCUUUUGGCCUGGGGGGGUGUAAUGGCCGAGGUGUCCCUUACCUGCCCGUUUUCCCCCGCAGUGGCCAAGACCAAAAAAGGGGGGGAUACCCCCCCCCCCCCUGCAAAGCCCGCGUCACUUCUCCUGCCAGUCCCCCCCCCCCCCCCCCCAUCCUGGGAAAAGAAAAGAACACUACAGAAAUGUACGAGAGGAAAGACGCCGGAAACCCGCGAGGGCGCGAGAUGAAGCCACAAAAGACAUUUUAGUAGAUUGUUUCUGUCAUUUCCUUGAAUAUUAAAGUAGGAAUGUUUAAAUGAGUGCAGAUGCAAGUGGCCUACUAAGCCCCCCACGUGUGCUCGUGUUCCUUCAGCUCCUCAGACUCGUGUCACAGAGAAGAGGCUGCUUGUGGUUGUAAUGUCUUUGACUCCCGUGUUUGUCUGCAGGUCAAACAUCUUGUGUCCCUGCAGGUCAAACAUCUCGUGUCCCUGCAGGUCAAACAUCUCGUGUCCCUGCAGGUCAAACAUCUCGUGUCCCUGUCCCUGCAGGUCAAACAUCUCGUGUCCCUGUCCCUGCAGGUCAAACGUCUCGUGUCCCUGCAGGUCAAACAUCUCGUGUCCCUGCAGGUCAAACGUCUCGUGUCCCUGCUCGCUCAUGUUUAGUCACUUUAUCAUUCGUGAGUUCCACCUCUUUACGUGCAGUGUGAGAUGCUGUUUUUUGACCCGGUGACGGUGGAGCGCUGAAGCCGAGGCUCGGACACGUGGUGUGAUUUGAUGAGAUCAAAUGGAUGCAGAGCCCCCCCACAGUCUGCCAUGUGUCUUUCUCCAUGUAGUGAGAUCUCAACCAUUCCAACUUUGUUAAAAAAAAAGCACUUUUGGGUCAGCGCUGCUGGUCGUCUAAAAAAAGAGAGAAAAAAGAGGGAUUGAGUUUGUAAAACAAGAUGUCAUUUGAACGGGGGGGUGAGCAGGAGUCUGAGUCCUGAGUCCUCCAAUGGGACAAAAGCACUGCUCAUGGGUUCUGGGAAGGGGAUGAAGCUAAAAAAAAAAAAGAAAAAAAAGUGCUGAGACUAUGAUUUUGCACAAACCUAAAAGACCUGGGCUGCAUCUCCUGGGGACUCGCCUAAAAUAAAGGUGUAAAGCGAAGCUGGCGAGGGUCCCGAGGGGUGGGUGGGUGUCAGAAGGGUGGAGGCUGGACAGGGAGGGGGUCUCCAUGCUGCGGAGGGUUCCUACAGUGCGUUGGGCUGCGUGGAACCCUGUGAAUGAGGUUUGUGAUUGUACAUUAAGGACAGAGAGGAGGAGAGAAACACUCCUUAUAUUCCGCUGCUAUAGAAAAUGAAUCCCAGCUACGUGUUAAAAAAAAAAAGAAAAACUGACAAAAACGUAAUGGAUUAAAAAUGAUGCUUUUCUCCUGUUUGCUGCUACAUUUUGGUGUUUUUUUAUACAUAUAAAUGUCAAUAUGCUGCCAUUUUAGUUUUGAAUUUUCUCAUAGAAAAUUGUUCUAUUGACAUCCUCAUUUGUUGUUUUUGUGUAGAUUCUAUGUGAUCCGUUUUUAUUUUGUAUGUGUAUAAUUACAUACAGAAUUUGAUUUUCCGAUCUAUUCCAAAAAAUAUGGAGAAAAAUGUACAGAAAUGCUUUGAUCCACAAUACCUCAUGUGACAGUCCAGAUCUAUCUCUCGUCUCGGUCUCUUUGUUCAACCUGCUUGCAGAGGGGAAGCCAUGACAGAAACCUGGGUGUGUUUAACUCUUUUGAGUGCUAAGCUGUCUCGGUAAAGAGACUUUUAUCCCCACUUUAGGCCCAUGGGGGCCUCUGUUCCUUUCCCCUUUUGAUAUUUAUGGAAGAAGAAAUGGUUGAGUGAGUUGCGUUUGUACGUAGGGUGUCGUGCUUGGUAAGCCAUAGACUUGUGUUGUUACCAAUCAUUCCACUCAGUGUCGACUUCAUGCCAGUUCUCUGCAACUUCUGUCAACUACACAAUAAAAACAUGAACUAGAUGGAUCAGUGUGUAAAACGCUCUGUUCUUGUCCACACGUGAUGCUAUGCUAAGAGAGGGACUACUUCCUGCUGCGGAUUAACACAGUUAGGAGCACCUCGCUGUGACAUCCACAAUAUCAGCAGAGAAUACGGCGCUCUGAAGGAUCGACAAGCGGCUGACCGACUGAGGAGGAAACUUCUGGUCGGGAUGUAGAAGUGAGAAGCUGCAGCAGGAACAGAAAGAAGCCCACGUAUUGUGGCUGCACCUGACCGAUGAGAGGGAGAAACAUCUGGACGCAAGGCUCCACCGAUCGCCCCGGGGCUUCUUCUGGAAGACGAACCUGGAAUGGUUCCCCUCUGAGAAAGGGAACGCCACUUCUGCAAAUGACAAGAAAGAAAGUGCCGCGUCGGCUCAACAGCUGCACGCUCAUCUUCUUCCUCUUUUCUUGCCCGUUCGCAACACCGAUUGCGUUCAGACCGGAAUUCCUGUGGUGACACAAGUUCCUGUAUUACAAUGCACGCAGAUGCACCGACAUUUGAUCCUGUGGACGCGUCAUCGGACAACCUCCGGUACCUUACUGUAGAUUUGGAUGGGCGGAGCAGCAUGAAGUCCACUGGGUGUACCGAUGCAGCGGUGUCGCUCUGCUACCAGCCGGAUGUGACUGCGUCAGCGCAGGAAGUGAAGCACGAGCAGGAAGUGAAGGGCAGCAGCUCUUCUAUUGAGAACCAGGAAGCCCCUCAGAGGCUCCGCUCCUCUCCAGGUUACCAGGAUCCUUUAUUGUCAUUAUGUAACUGGAGGGUGCUUCUGUUUGCUUUACAGCAUUAAAUGGGAUGAACAUGCGUUGGACAAAGCUCCACGAGUUGCCGCUGUAGGGAGGAUAUUGGGAAAGUUACUUUAAAGCACCUUUACACUCCAAAUGAGAGCAGGGAGGAGUGUGACGUAUCCACACAAAGUUACCACAGGAGGAUGAUUCAUUUGUAGUUUUUAUAUCAUAUACUGUAUACAGCUGCAAAUGCUAAUGUUUCAACGUGCUAAUUUCCUCCUUCCCACAUUAAAGGGAAGAAGAAGAAAGUGAAUCAUGAUUGUUUGGCUAAUGAUUACCAGGAUUGUGUGUUUGUGUGUGUGCGUGAUGGUACUCAUUGAUUUGUUAUGCAAGGAAUGUCUUUGAUGGGGCUUCAGUGUGUAGGAAAGGCGUGAAAGUCUAAUCCUUUCCCACAGGCCUCACACACACACACACACACACACACACACACACACACACACACACACACCAGCAGCCUGAUGUACGUGCUCAUUUCUUUCCUGCCCCCCCCCCCCCCCAACACAUGUUGAACUGGGGCUUUUCUUUUCUAUUUGACAGUAUUUGAACUUUUCCGAGCUAUUUAGGCUUUUGGGCCAUUUUAGAAAGGGUUGGUAGAAAACGUAAAGGGACCUGGUUUGUGGUAACGCCACACGUCCCUGCUGUGGCCUACUGAGGUCCGGGAGUCAGCGGGGCAACAAACUGUUCCUCUGCGUGUGAUUCCAGCGCUCACUCGGCGAGCGCGUGAGAAACACUCACAAACCUUUAGGGCCGCGGUGCUAUAAAGUGCAAAGGUUCUCACGGGGGCAGGGGCCCUCACACAGGAUCUGCCUCUGCUACCUCUGCUUUAGUGCUGUGUGAGACCAAGUCUCGUGACUCGUCAAUGGUCAGGGAGUCAACAUCAGCCAACAACUGCUUCAUACACAGUCAUGGAAAACCACAUCCAAUUGGAAGACGGACCUAUACUGUAUACUGGACCUAUUGGUGAUGAGGAUCUCGGCUGGUGGUAAUGAUUGGUGGAGAUGCCGUGCUACGGUUCAUCCAGAGGACAUAAACCACUAUACGGGAGAAGAAAGACCCGUUUACAGUACAGCUCAUGGACCUUACAAAGCUAUGCAAGGUUUAUUAACCCUAAAGACCUUGAACAAAUUGACUUUUCAUCCAAUAUUCUCAGUAACACCUUCCAAAAGUAAUUUGUGGAACAUCUGACAAGCGACCUGUCAAUCAGGAGACCUGACUUUGUUCCCUCAGAGAGACAUUAAGUCGUCUCUGAUGUUGUGUUCUUCAGCAGAUUUCUCAACCUCACGGGGGCUUUAGGCGUGUGUCUGUUGGACUAAGCUAAGCAGUGCUGAAUAGUCUUCUAUCCGACUAACACGCCUGGAUAACUCGGUCCGAUCCAGUUGAUAGUUCGACUAUUGCGGCAUGUAACGGUGAAUCGGAUGAGGAACUGGAUGCUUGAGAUCCCGACGGCGUCUUCUCUCCGUUAUCAAAUCAGCCAAUAGCGCCAUUCGCAUUCGCUGCGCUCCUAUUAACAUCAUGCACACAUAGUAGAGGGAUGUAGCUUCACCUUCAUGAAAACAGCGCCACCUAUCGUAUCGGAUAGGACAUGCUUUCGGCCAAUGAUUCGACUUAUUCACUGCCAUGUAUAUUGGGAUAAUAGCACCUCCCACUUCUUAAAUCAUCCACCGCUGUGGACCAACAUGUGGAAUAAAGAGCGGCGGGGCCCUGUGAUCAGACUUUUACUCUUUCGGUUACUACUGUGAAGAAUCACGACUCGGAACAAAACCGGGUGUCUGUUUCCUGGGAACAGGAAGUGAAGCUUUCGGCACGUCCCACGACGUAGCAGAUCAGCGUUAAUGGCCGCUUGCAGAGGUACGGAGGCCGAGCAUUAAGGCCUUCAAUAGCUAACGUUAGCCUGCUAAUUCCACCAGCUUGGCUGCCGCUGGCUGUCGGCCACGUGCGCGUUGUGAAGCUCCGUGUCCGAGCAGCGGGUUGAACCCUGACUCCUCAGAGUGGGGAAGUGAGAAAACGUGAAGGUGGCCUGGUCCUAAGGGUUGGUUGACUGUUUCUUUAUGGCCUUUCCGUGCAUCUCUCUGCUUCACGUGAGCGCUGUUAAAAUGCACGAACUCAUAUCCAAUCAGUGACCACUUUGCUCCCUCUGAGCUGCGAAGCAGUAGUUUGACCCCCGGACGACGAAACGAAACAAAGGCCUUCUAAGAAGCCUGUUGAUCUGCUGCUCUCGGGAGGCCCCUCCUCCUCCCGGAGCUGCUGCUGUGCUGCCGGUGAAAUCUGAAGCCACCAUUUCAUUCAGAGGGCCUUUCUGCUGCUGGACGGCAGCAUUUGUCACCACUGCUUUUCAUGUCACCACUCACCACCUGCUCCCCACAUUCCUCCACACGCUCUCAAAGAGCUCGGCCCCUCCUCUUCUCCUCCACCUCCCUUUCUCUCAUUCCUCCCAUUACGCUAUUACUCUAACUCUUACCCCCACUCCUCCGCUUCCUCCUCUCCACCAUCCUGCACCACCAAUGGAUUCAUUCCUUUCCACUUUCUUUGGAUUUCUCGUGGUAAUUGUUCACUCGAGCUCUGGCUUUGAUUUUCUCUUUUCCUUUUCUUCCUUUAAGGGGGUACAAGUCGAAGUGAAACACUCAUCUGAAUGCAUCGCUCUCGUUUGGGCCCCUGUCACCGCUGCUCCCUCCCCGGCCUCCUCAUUCUCCUUUUCUCUGUUUGUCUUCAGAAGCUGCCGACCACAAGACAGCGUUCACCUGCUGCCUGAAGCUGCACAAAGCAGCUGCUACUGUACACACACACACACACACACACACACCGUCCCGUUGGGUUAUUGUCAGAGGGAGUCUGGACGGGGAACAGAAGGCGGGCUGAUGCUGUUGUUGUCGUGUGUGUGUGGACCGAGCAGCACCAUGGAUGCAUUCUGUACACAGCAGAGGUCACUGACCCCGUCUCUCUGAGAGGGGCAGGAGUUCACCGUUAACCAAUCAGCAGACGGACGCGUCUGUGAUCAGAGCUGCUCUCUUUGUUCCUUCUGCCCGACGUCAGGACUCUGCUGGGCUGUUACCAUGUAUCUGCACAGCCAUCGCUGCUCCAUCACCUCCUGCUGGCAUCCAGCAACCUGUCUCUGACCACGUUAUGAGGAGACGAACACGUCGCAGUGUCUCCACGUGUACUCGAAUAAAGUGUGUUACUGUUCACGACGUACA